rnacentral:lncRNA from 1 species
UCCAAAAACGAGUCUUUUAUUUUUACAAAGCAAGGAAAACAAGCACUUUAAAUUUUGUACAUGGAGAAAAAGCACUUUUAAUCUCGAGACACGUAAAAUUAAAUGAAUGAGGCACCCAUCUUGCACGACCGAACAUAAAAUAAAAAAGUAAAAAACACGUUGAUCGUAAAAAAAAAAACGGCGAAUAGGUUGCAAAAAUAUUACCCUUAUAUUAAUAGAACAUCACGUUUUAUUUCAUCAGUCAUUUUGAAAGCUUCAGAAAAGAUGUCAGGGUAAGGAGGCAUAGUAGACGCACUUAUUGUAUUCUGAAACCCCGAGGACUCAGCUAUUUUAAUUGUUUGCAUCAGCAGCACAAUCACGAUGCUGGUCCCGAAAAUGUAAA